GGAUGGUUGGGGGUGGGGUGAUGGUUGGGAGCGGAGACAUGCCCGGAGGUUACCCCGGAGAGCCACCUGUUUGAGAUGUUGCCAUCAGAGUGUCUUGUCCAAGAGGGGCCAUGUCAGGCCAUGAAGCCAGAGCAAGCCAGAACUUCCCAGCUUGUUCGCCUCCCAGGAGUGACUCAGUGAAGACCUGAAUGCUCCCCUGACAGAUCGUCAUUCUCUCACCUCUCUGCCCCCCUCCACUGUUACGCUGUGCUCCAAAAACUGAGUCUGGCUCUCUGAGUCUUUCACCUCUGUACCCCCUGCGUGUAGCCAGGGUCUGGCACAGAGAAGGACCUCCAUCAGUGUCUGUGCCACUGCAUUGCAUUAAAGCUUUCCCAGACACUGAAGGUGAACUAAUAAAACACUGAAUGGCUCAGGAUUAAUGUAACUCAUAAAAAUAAUAGCAGCGAGGCGCCUGGGUGGCUCAGGUCAGUUCAGCGUCAGACUUUGGCUCAGGUCAUGAUCUCACGGUUCGUGGGUUG